rnacentral:rRNA from 1 species
UCCUGGCUCAAACGAACGUUGGCGGCGUGGAUUAUGCAUGCAAGUUGAGCGUACUCCGCAAGGAGAAGCAGCGUAGGGGGCAGUAAGGCAUGGGUACCUACCUCGGGUUCGGGUAUAGCCUGUAGAGAUACAGGGUAAUCCCCGAUGAUGUCGUAAGACCAAAGCUCCGGCGACCGGAGAGGGGCCCAUGUGAUAUUAGCUAGUUGGUGGGGUAACGGCCCACCAAGGCGAAUAUGUCUAGCGGGUGUGAGAGCACGACCCGCGCCACUGGCACUGAGACACUGGCCAGACACCUACGGGUGGCUGCAGUCGAGGAUCUUCGGCAAUGGGCGCAAGCCUGACCGAGCGACGCCGCGUGUGCGACGAAGGCCUUCGGGUUGUAAAGCACUGUCGAGGGGGAGAAAACCGCAGGGUUGAUCUAUCCCUGGAGGAAGCACGGGCUAAGUUCGUGCCAGCAGCCGCGGUAAGACGAACCGUGCGAACGUUGUUCGGAAUCACUGGGCUUAAAGGGCGCGUGGCGGGCUGUCAAGUCCGGGGUGAAAUCCUCCCGCUCAACGGGAGAACGGCCUCAGAUACUGACGAUCUCGAGGGGGAUAGGGGCACGCGGAACUGUGGGUGGAGCGGUGAAAUGCGUUGAUAUCCAUAGGAACUCCGGUGGCGAAGGCGGCGUGCUGGAUCCCUUCUGACGCUGAGGCGCGAAAGCCAGGGGAGCAAACGGGAUUAGAUACCCCGGUAGUCCUGGCCCUAAACGUUGAGAACUAGGUUGUAGACUAGACAUGGGUUUACAGCCGAAGCAAAAGUGCUAAGUUCUCUGCCUGGGGAGUAUGGUCGCAAGGCUGAAACUCAAAGGAAUUGACGGGGGCUCACACAAGCGGUGGGGCAUGUGGCUUAAUUCGAGGCAACGCGAAGAACCUUAUCCUGGACUUGACAUGUGCGAAAGCGCCUGCAGGUAGAACCCGGAAACGGGAACGAACGGUAUCCAAUCUGGAAGCAGGCACAGGUGCUGCAUGGCUGUCGUCAGCUCGUGUCUUGAGAUGUCGGGUUAAGUCCCAUAACGAGCGAAACCCUUACCCUCAGUUGUUAAUCAUAGGACUCUGGGGGGACAGCCGGUGUUAAACCGGAGGAAGGUGGGGAUGAGGUCAAGUCUUCAUGGCCUUUAUGUCCAGGGCUGCACACGUGCUACAAUGGCGUGAACAAAGGGAUGCCAACGCGCGAGCGGGAGCAAACCCCAAAAAACACCCCCCAGUUCAGAUCGGAGGCUGCAACUCGCCUCCGUGAAGCCGGAAUCGCUAGUAAUCGCGGGUCAGCAACACCCCGGUGAAUGUGUUC